ACGUGGGGGGCAAGCGUUGUCCGGAAUUACUGGGCGUCAAGCGCGUGUAGGCGGGAGAUCAGGCGGCGUGUGAAAGACGAGGGCUCAACCCUUGGAGGUCGCGCCGAACCGGUAUUCUUGAGACUGCGAGGGGCGGGUGGAAUGGUUGGAGGAGCGGUGAAAUGCGUAGAGCCCAAUCAGAACACCAGUGGCGAAGGCGGCCCGCUGGAGCAGGACUGACGCUGAGACGCGAAAGCGCGGGGAGCAAACGGGAUUAGAUACCCCGGUAGUCCGCGCGGUAAACGAUGGACACUGGGCGUGGCGGGUAUCGACCCCUGCCGUGCCGGAGCGAACGUGGGAAGUGUCCCGCCUGGGGAGUACGGCCGCAAGGCUG
rnacentral:rRNA from 1 species